UGGGUGUCACUGUGAGCUGGGAAAAGCCCUGUGUUCAAGUUACGUGCUCAGGGGACGGAAUGAGAAUGACAGUUCUAGGGUGCCCAUAUGGAGGUGGACGAAACCCACACCCCGGAGCACCUGGAGCGCCUGCAAUAGCCCGACACUACCCUUUCUGUUGCGAUAAGUGCGAGCAAGUGCAAUAGCUGGAUAUCACUUGUGCUGAAGCCAGUUUUAAGGAGUUCAAGUUCCCUAAUCUCCGAAUAGUGUGGAAGUAUUAUCUAUGUUAGUGUAGCAGCAGUAAUAAGAGGUCAGCGGGAUCGGGUUUGUGUUAUGAAUAAAAUAAGUUUACCAUUCCA